GAUGAACGCUGGCGGCGUGCCUAAUACAUGCAAGUCGAGCGAAUGGAUUAAGAGCUUGCUCUUAUGAAGUUAGCGGCGGACGGGUGAGUAACACGUGGGUAACCUGCCCAUAAGACUGGGAUAACUCCGGGAAACCGGGGAUAAUACCGGAUAACAUUUUGAACCGCAUGGUUCGAAAUUGAAAGGCGGCUUCGGAUGUCCCUUAUGGAUGGAGCCGCGUCGCAUUAGCGAGUUGGUGAGGUAACGGCUCACAAAGGCAACGAUGCGUAGCCGACCUGGGAGGGUGAUCGGCCACACUGGGACUGAGACACGGCCCAGACUCCUACGGGAGGCAGCAGUAGGGAAUCUUCCGCAAUGGACGAAAGUCUGACGGAGCAGCUCCGCGUGAGUGAUGAAGGCUUUCGGUCGUAAAACUCUGUUGUUAGGGAAGAACAAGUGCUAGUUGAAUAAGCUGGCACCUUGACGGUACCUAACCAGAAAGCCACGGCUAACUACGUGCCAGCCGCCGCCGUAA
rnacentral:rRNA from 1 species